UUCGUAGGCGGUUGGUUAAGUUAGAUGUGAAAGCCCCGGGCUUAACCUGGGAACUGCAUUUAAUACUGGCUAACUAGAGUCUAGGAGAGGGAAGUGGAAUUUCAGGUGUAGCAGUGAAAUGCGUAGAGAUCUGAAGGAACACCAGUGGCGAAGGCGACUUCCUGGACUAAAACUGACGCUGAGGAACGAAAGCGUGGGUAGCAAACAGGAUUAGAUACCCUGGUAGUCC
rnacentral:rRNA from 1 species